rnacentral:rRNA from 1 species
UACGAAGGGGGCUAGCGUUGCUCGGAAUCACUGGGCGUAAAGGGUGCGUAGGCGGGUCUUUAAGUCAGGGGUGAAAUCCUGGAGCUCAACUCCAGAACUGCCUUUGAUACUGAAGAUCUUGAGUUCGGGAGAGGUGAGUGGAACUGCGAGUGUAGAGGUGAAAUUCGUAGAUAUUCGCAAGAACACCAGUGGCGAAGGCGGCUCACUGGCCCGAUACUGACGCUGAGGCACGGAAGCGUGGGGAGCAAACAGGG